GAUGAACGCUGGCGGCGUGCCUAAUACAUGCAAGUCGAGCGAACAGACGAGGAGCUUGCUCCUUUGACGUUAGCGGCGGACGGGUGAGUAACACGUAGGUAACCUACCUAUAAGACUGGGAUAACUUCGGGAAACCGGAGCUAAUACCGGAUAAUAUUUUGAACCGCAUGGUUCGAUAGUGAAAGAUGGCUUUGCUAUCACUUAUAGAUGGACCUGCGCCGUAUUAGCUAGUUGGUAAGGUAACGGCUUACCAAGGCAACGAUGCGUAGCCGACCUGAGAGGGUGAUCGGCCACACUGGAACUGAGACACGGUCCAGACUCCUACGGGAGGCAGCAGUAGGGAAUCUUCCGCAAUGGGCGAAAGCCUGACGGAGCAACGCCGCGUGAGUGAUGAAGGUCUUCGGAUCGUAAAACUCUGUUAUUAGGGAAGAACAAACGUGUAAGUAACUGUGCACGUCUUGACGGUACCUAAUCAGAAAGCCACGGCUAACUACGUG
rnacentral:rRNA from 1 species